ACUCAAUAGUUUAACAAUAAGCGAUUGCCGUUUUUACAAACUCCCUAUUAACUUGGACUUGAGAUAUGUUCGUGCUUUUGAUUUGGAUAGUUAUGCUCUCAAUGACUUUGUUAAAGAAUGU